UACGAAGGUGGCAAGCGUUACUCGGAAUUACUAGGCGUAAAGGGCAGGUAGGUGGUUCGGUAAGUCUGUUGUGAAAGCUCCUGGCUUAACUGGGAGAGGUCAACAGAAACUACCGGGCUUGAGUAUAGGAGAGGGUACUGGAAUUCCCGGUGUAGCGGUGAAAUGCGCAGAGAUCGGGAGGAACACCAAUGGCGAAAGCAGGUACCUGGACCGACAUUGACGCUGAGGAGCGAAAGCUAGGGGAGCAAACGGG
rnacentral:rRNA from 1 species